GCGAGUGAAGCGGCAAAAGCUCAAAUUUGAAAUCUGGCGCCUUCGGUGUCCGAGUUGUAAUUUGAAGAAGGUAACUUUGGAGUUGGCUCUUGUCUAUGUUCCUUGGAACAGGACGUCACAGAGGGUGAGAAUCCCGUGCGAUGAGAUGUCCAAUUCUAUGUAAAGUGCUUUCGAAGAGUCGAGUUGUUUGGGAAUGCAGCUCUAAGUGGGUGGUAAAUUCCAUCUAAAGCUAAAUAUUGGCGAGAGACCGAUAGCGAACAAGUACAGUGAUGGAAAGAUGAAAAGAACUUUGAAAAGAGAGUGAAAAAGUACGUGAAAUUGUUGAAAGGGAAGGGCUUGAGAUCAGACUUGGUAUUUUGCAAGCCUUACCUUCGUGGUGGGGUCCCCUGCAGUUUACUGGGCCAGCAUCGGUUUGGAUGGUAGGAUAAUGACUUGGGAAUGUGGCUUUGCUUCGGUAAAGUGUUAUAGCCCUUGUUGAUACUACCUGUCUAGACCGAGGACUGCGUCUUUGACUAGGAUGCUGGCAUAAUGAUCUUAAGUCGCCC
rnacentral:rRNA from 1 species